rnacentral:lncRNA from 1 species
UUCUAAUCAUGGGCUCAUCUAAGCCUUCCCAGGAAUCCAAGCCCUGUGACUCUGAUGGUCCUUCAGACAGGAAAGAAAUGCAGACCCAGGUGGGUACAGAAGAAGAGGCGGUAGUUUAUCCUCCCUCAGCUCCUUUCAUGGAAUUGAGAUAAACAGACCUGCAGUGAUUUUCUGCAAAUGGAGGGGUAUCCCUUGCUCCCACCACCCCUGUACUCACUCCAAAGAUCAUUGUUUGCCCCAAAUGUCAAAUAUAGUUCAAAAGGAAGCAGAUCAUAGCUGGAAUCUGGCUCUGUUGGACACUAGCUGUGUCUUUUGGGCAAAUUAAUUCUCCCCUCCAAGUCCCUGAGCUGAGGGAGAAGAAAGAGAAAGGGCCAUCUUUGAGAAACGGUGUUAUUUGAGUUGAGUAGAAAGACGCUGGGAAAUCAGCCUUUUUGGCUAGAGGCACAGUCAGUAACUCCUCCAGGGGUCUUCUAAGUCCAAAGCCCCCAAAGAGGGCUGAGCUGGGAGCAGACAGAGCCCUCUGUGGCUGUGCAGAUGGAGACAGCUUGAUGAGAGCCAAGCCUUCUUCUCCCCGUGUGCAAUCUGCUGCUGAUAGAGACAGCAAAGGCUGGAGCUUGGCAGAAAGGUGACUUGUCAAAUAGGCAGCCUCCAUGCAUGCUUAAGACCUAGAUUUUUUUUUCAAAAAGUACAUAUACUAACUCCAAGAGGACUGUCCUUGAAAGCAGAACAGCUGCUGCAUUUUCUCUGUGAAGAUGUCACCUGUAACUCUCACAACUUCUAUUUUUCUGAUGCUAGGCAACAAUCAUAACAAACCAUUUUCACCAGUAAAAACUUGCAUCUGCAAUCACAGUUAAUCUGCAUGUUUUUAAAAACUGUAUUUCAGAAAGGGUCUCCAGUCCUCCAACAUAACAUCCAAAACACUCGUUCUCUUGUGAGAGAUGUAAACAUGUAAGUGAGAUAGAUAAGGCAUGCAGCUGGGAUGAGAUCCAUUUAUUAUGAACACGUGGAGCAG